rnacentral:rRNA from 1 species
GUACACUCCUACGGGAGGCAGCAGUGGGGAAUUUUGGACAAUGGGCGCAAGCCUGAUCCAGCCAUGCCGCGUGCGGGAAGAAGGCCUUCGGGUUGUAAACCGCUUUUGUCAGGGAAGAAAAGGUUCUGGCUAAUACCUGGGACUCAUGACGGUACCUGAAGAAUAAGCACCGGCUAACUACGUGCCAGCAGCCGCGGUAAUACGUAGGGUGCAAGCGUUAAUCGGAAUUACUGGGCGUAAAGCGUGCGCAGGCGGUUAUGCAAGACAGAGGUGAAAUCCCCGGGCUCAACCUGGGAACUGCCUUUGUGACUGCAUGGCUAGAGUACGGUAGAGGGGGAUGGAAUUCCGCGUGUAGCAGUGAAAUGCGUAGAUAUGCGGAGGAACACCGAUGGCGAAGGCAAUCCCCUGGACCUGUACUGACGCUCAUGCACGAAAGCGUGGGGAGCAAACAGGAUUAGAAACCCGUGUAGUCC